rnacentral:lncRNA from 1 species
UGUGUGUGUCGUGUUUAGAGAGAGAGAGAGAGAGAGAGAGAGAGAGAGAGAGAGAGAGAGAUAUGGGGUAAUCCUCUCCAACCCCAAACAACAAAUCCAGAAAUUUGAGGUUGAAAUUGAAGCUAAACCUUUGCAUGAUCAAGGAUUUCUAACCAUCAAUCCCUAACAAACAUGUUAAGCUUGGGAAGGAAUGGGUUAAACGGGUCAAGUGCGCAAGAAAGAUUGAACGGAUGCAAUGUAAGUAAUACUUACACCUUUUAAAUAGAACCACUUUAUGUAAUGGGUUAAGAACAAGAUGAAUAAAGAAAUCGGAUGAUUUAGUCAAGUAAGAUCCUAUGAUGUAAAUCAUAACGGGUCAAAACGGAUGAAAUUAUGUUGAACUGCAUGUUUACGAGCAGAUAAAGAGUUUUUGAAAAGAAGACCUUAUGAUGUAAACCAUAACAGGUCAAAACGGAUGGAAUUAUGUUGAACCUUAUAUUUGCGAAUAAACAAAGAUAUUUUAAAAGAAGACCCUAUGGUGUAAACCAUAGUUAGGGCUGUAAACGAACCAAACGAACACGAACAAGGCAAUGUUCGUGUUCGUUCGUUAAGGAAAUUAACAUGUUCGCGAACUGUUCACGAACGUAUACCGAACAUAAGUUUAUGUUCGUGUUCGUUCGUUAAGGAAAUUCAGUUGUUCACGAACAUCGUGAACACUGGUUUCAAAAACAAACGAAUGCAAGCAAAUAACAACGAACGUAAACGAACAUUUAACUUGAAAAUAAAAAUAAAAAUAUUGUUGUCGUUAAACAUUGGAUAUAAGUGGUUAAAUAUAACCAUCAAAUGAUAAAUUAAAACACAAGAAGUCUACUACACCACUAAAUGAUAAAUCAAGGUUAACUAACCUAGACAUAAUUAUCCCAAAAAAUGUCUUCGAGUGUCCAAAUUUUAGCUAACUUAGAAAAAGACAGGGUUUCAAGUUUUCAAUAUGUUUCGAUAAAAGAUUUAUUAUUUAUUAUUUUUAAUAUAAUCAAACAAACACGAACAAACGGACAUGAACACACGUAAACGAACAUAUUACCGAACGUUCACGAACGCAGUCGAACGAAUAAAAGUUGUGUUCGUGUUCAUUCGCUAAGCUAACCGAACGAAAUUUUUUGUUCAUGUUCGUUCGUUAAGCUAAUCGAACGAACAUAAACGAACUUCCCGCCGAACGGUUCAAGAACUGUUUGCUGAACGUUCGAUUCGUUUACAGCUCUAACCCUAGUGGAUCAAAAUGUAUGAAAUUAUAUUGAACCACAUGUUGUCUAUUAAACAAAGAGUUUUGAAAUAUGACCCAAUGGCGUAAGUCACAACGGGUCGAAUGAGUAGAAUUGAAAGUAAUCACAUUUAGGUGAUUAACAAAUGAAUUUUUUUAAAAAAACUUUCAAAAAAUGACUUUCUGACACGAACCGAGUGGGUAGAACAUGUAAAAAUGAGUUUUUGAUACUAAACACGAACUGAAUGUGUCAAUCAGGUAAAAAUGAGUUUUUGGUGAUAAACCAAUAAACUUUUGAAAUGAACACUUGUUGACGCGAACCAAACGGGUCAAACAAGUAAAGAUUCUUUAAAGCGAAUAAUAUUCAAGUUAUCUUUUAAAUGUGCAUAUAUUAUAUAUGCAUAUAUGUUUGUAUGCAAACUAGUGAAAAGUCAAUAUGGAAAUAUGUUUGUAUUCAAACUAGUGUAAAAGUCAAUAUGCAAAUAUGUUUGUAUGCAAACUAGUGUAAUAGUCAAUAUGCAAUUAUGUUUGUAUGCAAACUACUAUAAAAGUCAAUAUGCAAAUAUGUUUGUAUGCAAGAAUGGUUAAAAGGACAAAUGGGUCAUGCGGGUCAAAUGUUGAUCGCCAUUUGAACCGGGUAUUUAAUGUUUUGUUAUGUCAAGUUUCAUGGUUAUAGGUAAGCAUAAUGUAUGGGCAUGCAUUGCCACAAAUUGGAAAGAAAUAACCAUCACAAGGUAUGGAUAACGAGUCAAUGGUUUUGACUCGUACCAGGUAUGUAUAAAAGGUUAUGCUUUCGGUAGGAGCUUAUGGCUCGACUAGAGAGGGAUGGGUUAGAUUUGGGUAACAGAUUAACCCAAGUGAAAUGCACUUAGCAUUUUGGGUAGAUGGUCAUUCGAGCCAAGGGCAUGUCCAUUAUGCGAAAAUGGACUAAAUUGAUUUAUGUCUCUUAACAUGCCAUUUUGGUAAAAUGUCUAACCGGAGGAUAAAAUUGGAAUAUAAAGGUUUUCAAAGAAUAACCCACCACAUUUCAGAUGACCCAGCCGGGUGGAAACCUGACCCGGCCGGGUAGGGAGGCUGACACAAAAAAAGUGUGCUUAAUGUUUUCAAUUAAAUGUUUCAAUUACUAACCGUUUGACCGUAUAACUUAAACAUUAAUGGUUUUUAGUAUUUAUGACAGGCUAUCACUAAGGCGGGAAUCAGACGGACGGACGACUAAGCACACGAAGAACCGAACACUCCUAAACCACCAUUUCCUCGGGAACAUCCAUUCGAGAUAAUUAAAACAUGAUCAUGCAUACCGAAGCUUCGGGUUUAUAAGCUUUUAUAUAGUAGAAUAUAGAUGAAGUAUAAUAAUGUGUUUUGUCGAUUCGUCUGUGUUAUUGGUUAAUUCAGGCGGAUAAGUUAGUUGUAAAAAAAAAUCUAGGACCUUAUUAUUCGUUUUUGUUAAGAUAAUUAUUAAAAAGGUUAG